rnacentral:rRNA from 1 species
GACGAACGCUGGCGGCGUGCUUAACACAUGCAAGUCGAACGGAAAGGCCCUGCUUUUGUGGGGUGCUCGAGUGGCGAACGGGUGAGUAACACGUGAGUAACCUGCCCUUGACUUUGGGAUAACUUCAGGAAACUGGGGCUAAUACCGGAUAGGAGCUCCUGCUGCAUGGUGGGGGUUGGAAAGUUUCGGCGGUUGGGGAUGGACUCGCGGCUUAUCAGCUUGUUGGUGGGGUAGUGGCUUACCAAGGCUUUGACGGGUAGCCGGCCUGAGAGGGUGACCGGCCACAUUGGGACUGAGAUACGGCCCAGACUACUACGGGAGGCAGCAGUGGGGAAUAUUGCACAAUGGGCGGAAGCCUGAUGCAGCAACGCCGCGUGCGGGAUGACGUCCUUCGGGUUGUAAACCGCUUUCGCCUGUGACGAAGCGUGAGUGACGGUAAUGGGUAAAGAAGCACCGGCUAACUACGUG